rnacentral:rRNA from 1 species
CCCCUUCGGGGACAGGGUGACAGGUGGUGCAUGGUUGUCGUCAGCUCGUGUCGUGAGAUGUUGGGUUAAGUCCCGCAACGAGCGCAACCCUCGACCUUAGUUGCCAGCAUUCAGUUGGGCACUCUAAGGUGACUGCCGGCUAAAAGUCGGAGGAAGGUGGGGAUGACGUCAAAUCAUCAUGCCCCUUAUGACCUGGGCUACACACGUGCU